rnacentral:lncRNA from 1 species
GCUCGCCAGGCCGGAGGCGGUGGUGUCUGCGCAGGCGCGGUGUGCGCAGGUGCGUGGCGUCAGCGUCGGCGCUCCAGGGUCUGGGCGCUGCGAGAUGAAGAAACCAAGGCUUUGUGACUAACUCAACCCUGCAAGAAGGACAAAACUGGCAUCAGAGCACCUUGCUCCUGGGUCUGGCAAGAAUGCCUGUUGCUUGCUGAGAGGCCCACAGAUUGAUCUGGCUCAAGAGUGGGAGAUGGGAGGUGACCAGGUCAGUGCCAGCCUCUCUCUGAGCCCCUCCGAGUCGUGGCAGCUGCGGUGCUCCUCCGGGAAUGUUCUGCCAUCCACGAGGUCGGGUCCUGUCUGAGGCCUGCCGUGUGCUGUCAGGGGAGACGUCAUCAGGGGACUUUUCCUGCUGUGAAGAGGGUGCAGCCCCCACCUUUCAGAGCUUGGGACACCCUCUUCCUCUUGUCCAGGAUCCUCAGGGAUUUCCUAGGCUUGCACUCUCACCCAGACAUCACUGGGCCGUAACUGAAACACCCGCUUCCAGUGUGCUCAGGUCCUGCAGCCUCCUGUCCAUCCU